AUGCUCCUUUCAGCUCAGUUAUACUAUAAUUGGAAAGGUACAGAGAAAAUUUGCCUUGUCCCUUGGGAAAGGAUAACACCCAAGUUUGAGUAGUAUUCCUUUUUUGU